AAAUCUGAAAGGAUUGGAAAAGUUCACUGAAUAAAGCGUACCCAGCAGAUAUCGCCCACCAAAGUUUACUAAGCAAACAUAGCUCGGUCUCUGAUUCCCUCCCUGGACUGCUGCUACUACCAUAGUGCAGGGAAACAGAGAUGUUGCCGAUAUCCCAGCUGAACCACUGUACUGCUCUGCAGGACUGUCACAGACCUUGUCCACCACAGAGGUGACAAUAUUGUUGGCCUGAAGCUACAGGCACACCCGUAGUGCCUGGGGAAAGAGGGGUGUCCAUAAAUCAGGCCUGAUACAAGCUUUCCCUUUGCUGCCUCUAAGAUUUCAAAGAGCCUUGCCUGUCCUCCACCAUCCCAAAGCCCAGGUCCCAGGGGAAGAACACCCAGCAGAUCCUGAGGCCAUGAGCAGGCUUAGUAUUAAACUCCUUUACUCUCUAGCCAGGACGUUCGGCAGUCUCCACAAAUGUAAGUAAGUGCUGAUUCAGUAACCACUGUUUGGAUUAAAGUUUAAUCUCUUUAACCCUGACCUCAAUAUAUAGCUUUAUGCUGAUAAGGUGUGCAAUGCCAGGAUGUCAUAUGUAACGUGAAGUAAGGAACGAUGGUUUCAGAGCGCGCAGAAGGGGCUUACGGACAGACUGGUCUAACACAAACAGGAAACCAAGUUCCCAGGUUCUGACCUGCCUAGCAAUCUACUUGCAGUGCAGCCCAGCUAAAACCAAUUCAGUCUGCUCUUAUUACCCAAGAUCACAACUCGCUCGUCAGCAAACAAUGUGCUCGUUCAUUACCUACAGAGCUGACUUUGGACACCCCACAUACAGAGUAAGCGGUACAACCGCUGAGCUCUACAGCCUGUCUAUUCUUUCUCUCCCCUGCAGUGCAUUAGGAAAGCCUGUUGCCCCACUCUGUGCCUGAGCAGCACUUUUAUUUCUACAACAACAGCUGAGUGCUGUGCUAGGGACAAACGCUGGGACAGAGCCUUGAGCACAGAAGGCCCAAAGCCCAGUGAAGAGGCUGACUUGCAAAGGUAGGAGAAAGGCACCAGCAGAAUGGCAGCUAGCACCCGUCUUACACACAGCCCACGUUCUCCUACCUGACUGCUGUGCACAGCUCUUCAAUUGCAAGGGAGCCAUGCCACAGGAUGGGCUGGGUGUAGCGCAGGUAUCUAAUGAAACACCCCCGAGCAGCAGAGAUCACAGUACAGCCCUUCCUGACCACUUACCACUGAGUGAUCAAUGCCAGGCUGUCUCAGGGUACAGAGCAGUAGGUACAAAACAGCACAAACCCCAUUAGCCUGCCCACUGGCACUUCAACACUGAGUUGCUCCUCAGCUCCACUAUACAAAGCAGCAAGAAUCUCACUGCAGAGAUGCCUGUGCACUGACCCACAUGUUUUGUACUGAGACUCCUCAUAACAGAGGGCAAAACUGUAGGAGGCGCCCAAGCCCACCGAGCUCCGGGCCCCACUUAGACUACUCACCUGCUUCCACUCCUCCUGGCGUGUCCAGCACGGCCCAUCCAGAUCUGUCAUGGAGACAACGCUGGAAUAGGUGAGCUCCUCCUCCUCUGACUCGCUGAUGUCCACCAGCCGGCGGCACCACUCAAUUUGCUCCUGCACCGUCUGCCGGACCCACCUGGAGAACUCCAGCCUGUUGGCCAUGCUGGGAGCCUGGGCUGGCUGGGGCUGCGGAGAUAUAAACUGAAAGAGGCAAGAGAGAAAAGAGAGAAGGUCACACCACAUGGAAACCUACAUCUCCAGCUCUAACAUCUUCCAUUGGCAGACUGUCAAGUGACCCAAACCUCCGAGCCUCAAUUCCCUUUGCUGCCAUCAAAUGCUGAUCAACUGUGGGAGAUUGCUAGUGCUGUCCUCUUCGAUCUGACAUUCCUGGUUUACAGCUGGGGCCCCACAGCUCUCCUGCUUACACAUCUAGCUCCUCUUCACUGACUUUAUGCUACUGAGACAUUUCACAAAAGGCAGAGUACGUGGAUUUAAUCUGCAAUGGGAACUAGAGAGCAGAAUGAGGGAAGGACUAAUGACAUGCAACUGCUUGCCAUUAGAUUUGGAGAAAGGAAGUAGCUUUCUCAACUAGCAAGUGAGGCAGAGACAAGGUAAACAAGUUUCAAAAUCCUUGUGGAAAUCUAUGGGGGGACACAGGCUAAGGAACUGUGGGACAAAGUCUCGUCAUUACUGUGUUUUUACAGUCAGCACCAGCACAGCUAUUUACACGUGCCAUUACCUAGCACCUCCCUGGCUACGAUCCUUACACCUUCCAGAAGCCAAGAAUGCUUCUUCCCUUGACACCUCCUGCACACACACUAUUAAACCAAAGCAAUCCACUCCAAGCCUGUACCUAAACACAGUUUGUCUGUGAAGACCAUCGUUUAGGUUUGUCUCAUCAACAGCCAAGCUGACAUGUAGAAAUAAGCUCCCCACCACAAAUCAGCAACAUUGUUGUCUCUUGCGGUAUCUAGGAAAUAAUACCUACUUUGUUCCUUUGAAUUUUCUCGAGCAUGUCCAGGUCAGUGGUGUCAGAGAUGCCCCCGUGUAUAAUGAGGACCUUCUGAUCUAUCAGGGUGGCAAGGGGCAGCCAGCAGAAGACAUUCUGGAUCAUCUUUAAGAUUUUCUUCCCGUGCACCUGUCCAGGUCAGAAAGGAAAAGACGAAGCAUCAAGCUUUCGAAGUCCACAUCUCACGUGGUAAAGACGACACAAACAUAUGCCUACCUUGUAUUUCUGCAUUACUUCCUUGGUGAAACCGUAGCUAAAGGAACAGGAGAAAGCAAGUUCAGUGGGAUUUGGCAGCGACACCCUUGGCAUCGCGAUCAGCCCUGCACAGGACCCAUACCGUAAGUUGACCAUGUGGUCCUCAUGGUUCCCGCGGUUGAGAUGAACCUCCUUUGGAUAGAUCAAGAGGAAGGUAAAGAGGACGAUGAGGAUCUCGAGGGACUGUUUGCCUCUGUCUACGAAGUCCCCGUUGAACACGUAGGACUUGGAAGGGGAAGGAAGGCCAUUCUGGAAAAGCAAGGAACAGGCAGAUGUUACAAGAGAGACCUCCCCAUGAUCUCCAUAUACCUCCCCGCCCCAGCUGCACAUUCUCUCACUCCUGCCCCAGGCUACCUUAUACAAGAGAUCCUGACUUAUUUUUAUCCUGUAGGCUCCCAGUGGCAAAUGCACUGAAAAGUGAAAGCUGGCAGUCAGGAAGGGCUGCCGCUGGUAUCAGCACUUCCGAAAACGUCCACUGGCGCUCCCCAAAUGUUCAUGUACAUCAGAUUUCAAAGCCAGCAAGGGAAUAAGCUGCUGCUUUGUGAAGCCAUUUAAACCGAUCUAAUUGACCUGGAGAAUUGCAGGUGAGGGGCCCAGUUUUGCGAACACUUCCCAGCAUGACCCAUGCGAUACCUCUCACAAUGCCUGGCCAGCCUCCCUCUCCAAAUACAGUGCCUACCUUAUAAAAUAUGAAGAACAAGUCAUCCAGCUGGCCGUGCAAGUCUCCUAACAGGCACAAACAGACAAGGCGCAAUAUAUUUACCUUUACCUUAAAAAGACAUCUAUAAAUAACUGCCUAUGAAGUAUCAUCUCUAUAAAUUAAUGACCACUGAAAUAUUUUGGGAAGUUCGAGGUAGGAGUUUCCUUAUGCUGAGGCAAUGUGCCUGAAGGAAAGGACAUGAUGUAAAGGCUUGAGCUGAUGCCUGAGGACAGCAAAAAACCCACACCAGCUUCUGAAGACUCUGUUUCGGAAGCUUUGUUCAUUUCUCUCUUAUGAUGACAUAACACGGCACAAGAAACUGACUUCGAUCAUUACAUGAAAGAAAGCUUUGCGUACAAAAUAAUAAUCAAACUAAAUUCUCAUUUCACAUCAUAUUGGAGGGAGGGGUUUGUUUUCCAGAGACUGACUGCACGCAGAAGUCUGCACUAAGUGCCUAUUUUUCAGAAAUAUUUCAAAGUUUAAACAUUUGUCCUAGAAUAGGAAAAUAAUGGUGAAAAGCUUUGUCUCUUUCAAAUUUACUGGAUAGGACUCAAAGACAUGUUAGUAUUCUGGAUCUGGGUGAAUACGCCGCUGCUAACGAAGACUCGGCCGAAACAGCCCCAGGACUUGAUUGUUUUAAGUAAUACGAGGCCACAGAACAGGACAGAAAACUACUGAGUUUUGAGGCCAGUCCUCGAGUGGGUGCAGUUUCUGUGGUUUAGUAAAAUGACACCAAGUUUGGGGUGACAGAACAAACACAAAUUUGAAGCCAGUUGAAAAAUUCUUUAAAUCUUUGCUGUAACAUGUAACAAUUUUAAGAGCCACAGGCUAGCGUUAGGAUCCUUCACCUUCCCUUAGACAAAUGUAAAUCCUUAUAUUUUCUGUACAUACCUCCUCCGCAACUUGCAUUUUUAUAAUCACUGUGACAGCACCGCUAUGCAAGCUGAAUGCCACCAUCUAGGGGCAGGGUCUGUUAAUGACGUAUCCCAAAAUCUCCCAUGGAAGCCAAAUGCAGACUACAGAUAGACAAACCGCCUUCCCUCAACACCCCCACCGCAUUCCAGACCAAGUAGAAAUAGGGCCAUGAUGCAAAAUGCUCCCUCCAGCCUUCAGGCUAGCCUGUGCAGCAGCUCAAAUACAGCAUCGUAGGGUAAACCUGGCUAUUUUAGACCGCCAGUUGCCUGUCAUUGCUGGCAAUUUGCCAUUUUAUGUCUUUCCCACCCCUUCCACCUGAGCGUUCCGCCCCAGACGCUGUGCAGUGCCCUCCCACCCAGACAUACCACAUACGGUGACCUCCUCGCUGUAGCAGGUGGAGACGUGACUGAUGUUUGGCAGCUGCUUGAGGUGUUUCCUGGUCUCAUGCAGAAGGUUUAAGACAUAGCGAGCGUGGAGCUGCUACUAGGAGAAAGUGAAGGGAUUAAAGCAGGAAAUCAGUGACCUCUGAGCAGCAAUGCAGUUCUGUCUCCAAAGGACCCAAGGGCCCACCACGAUAGCCUGGAUGGCAGAAACUGUCACCGGGAUAACGCUCAGUGCUGACCUACGGGCUUACAGACAAGAUGCGGCAAAUGCUAGACAACAGCAGGAUGGAAGAGACUCACCCAAAGCCGCCCAGCCUCAGCACGGGCAGGGCUGGCAAGAGAGCCCUAGCACCCUGUGGUCAAGCAACAGAACCUCCUAGGGCAGCCAAAACGCCAGCCCAGUACCACAGCACUAGGAGCUGCGUAGCACAAAGAGGGAAGAGGUGUUGCUGUUGUGCAGCUGGGGAACUGAGUCACAGUGACGUCAUGGGCAAGAAGGUGGAUGUUACAUAAAGAAAACUUGCUGGGAUCAAGAGUCAAUUAAAGCAACGUCAUUCUGAAAUCUCAAAGGUAUCGCAACCGCUGUCAUUUACAUCUUCCUCCAGGGACUCUUUGUCACAUGUAUCAUUCUGGCAUAUGACUGCUAAUAUCCUUGUACAAACUAACUGGGUCAAGGCAAAGCUUGCAAUGCACUGAUCCAGGCAGAAGCAGAGGAUGCAGGUAAGUAGGUUAUGACCCUUAGCCUGACUCAGCACAAGGAGAUAAAGGGCCCACACCUCCAGAAAGCUCUCUCAGGAGCUGUUUGCAUAACCAGUACAUGAACACCUCAGGUAACAUUGCACAUCACUGGCAAUGGGGCGCUAACACUCUGAUCAUACUACUUCUCCCACAUAAAACUCAUGCUGGCAUGAGCAGUUCUUUUGUCCACUGGGGAAUGGGACCUCUAAACUUUAUGUGAGUCUCCACUGGUCUUGACUCUCUAAAUCCUUCUGUAUUUCUGGGAUGCUCCCAAGAAGUACCUGAAUUCAAUAUGCUGUCAUAGCACAACUGACAAACAAAAC